AUGAGGCUACCAUUGACCUUCCGCAGAUUCGUCAGGACGAUCUUCUGCUGCCUGAGCGAAGCUGACAACAGGUAGCAGAAACCCGGGAAAGCGAAACCGAAGAUGGGGGACGGGUACCACUGCACUGUGCUAGGAGCCGGCCACAAAGAUGCAAUAACCUCUGGGCGGGAAGUGUGAAAAAGUUUCAGCCUAACAUGGAAUCGGAGAAUAGGAAAUGGAGAAUCUGACGCAUGCGCCCUCAGAAGGAUAUGCCCGCUCUGAGCCUGAUUAUGCAAGACCGACGCUUCUCUCCUGACCAAUGAACUUCCGCCAAGAAUCCCUCCCCGUCCUCAAGCCAAUGAACUUACAGCCUGCACUCUGGCGGAACUCCCCACUUUGCGUUCCUUGCGGGUAACUAUUCACUCCAAAACGCUCGAGGGACUGGCUUGUGGCUUGCUGCAGUCCGCGUUUCCUGUGUUACUCAAACUCUGGAAAACGGACUCCUGCAAGCUGUGUUCCCCACCCGUCGGCUGAGAACCAGUUUCCAGACAGGGCUGUCCAGUGAAAUUGGGGAGCAAGAGAAAGAAAGAAACCAAGCCUUUCCCAGGAAUGUAAUUUUAACCAGUCAGUCUGGAAUUUCCUGGUCAACAGCAGUGACGAAAUCUCCCUGACAGACUCCCGGUGUGCUCCAAAGGAAGGUGACCUUGCCUGAAACAAUCUACUCCUUGCUGGAAUCACUACCUUGCCCUGACUCUUUCUGCCUAUAAGUUUUCCCUUUUGUACAGUUUCUUGGAGCUCCUUUCCACUUGCUGGAUGGGAUGCUGCCCAUUCAUGAAUCAUUGAAUAAAGCCAGUAAGAUCUUUA